CAUGCGUCUAGGGUUAAGGAGUCGCUGCCAUCAGCCCCACUGAUGAGUCUAUGAGGUAAUGACUACGAGACGAAACGCAUC
rnacentral:hammerhead_ribozyme from 1 species